rnacentral:rRNA from 1 species
UUAUCGGAGAGUUUGAUCCUGGCUCAGGACGAACGCUGGCGGCGUGCCUAAUACAUGCAAGUCGAGCGGACAGAUGGGAGCUUGCUCCCUGAUGUUAGCGGCGGACGGGUGAGUAACACGUGGGUAACCUGCCUGUAAGACUGGGAUAACUCCGGGAAACCGGGGCUAAUACCGGAUGGUUGUUUGAACCGCAUGGUUCAGACAUAAAAGGUGGCUUCGGCUACCACUUACAGAUGGACCCGCGGCGCAUUAGCUAGUUGGUGAGGUAACGGCUCACCAAGGCGACGAUGCGUAGCCGACCUGAGAGGGUGAUCGGCCACACUGGGACUGAGACACUACCAGACUCCUACGGGAGGCAGCAGUAGGGAAUCUUCCGCAAUGGACGAAAGUCUGACGGAGCAACGCCGCGUGAGUGAUGAAGGUUUUCGGAUCGUAAAGCUCUGUUGUUAGGGAAGAACAAGUGCCGUUCAAAUAGGGCGGCACCUUGACGGUACCUAACCAGAAAGCCACGGCUAACUACGUGCCAGCAGCCGCGGUAAUACGUAGGUGGCAAGCGUUGUCCGGAAUUAUUGGGCGUAAAGGGCUCGCAGGCGGUUUCUUAAGUCUGAUGUGAAAGCCCCCGGCUCAACCGGGGAGGGUCAUUGGAAACUGGGGAACUUGAGUGCAGAAGAGGAGAGUGGAAUUCCACGUGUAGCGGUGAAAUGCGUAGAGAUGUGGAGGAACACCAGUGGCGAAGGCGACUCUCUGGUCUGUAACUGACGCUGAGGAGCGAAAGCGUGGGGAGCGAACAGGAUUAGAUACCCUGGUAGUCCACGCCGUAAACGAUGAGUGCUAAGUGUUAGGGGGUUUCCGCCCCUUAGUGCUGCAGCUAACGCAUUAAGCACUCCGCCUGGGGAGUACGGUCGCAAGACUGAAACUCAAAGGAAUUGACGGGGGCCGCACAAGCGGUGGAGCAUGUGGUUUAAUUCGAAGCAACGCGAAGAACCUUACCAGGUCUUGACAUCCUCUGACAAUCCUAGAGAUAGGACGUCCCCUUCGGGGGCAGAGUGACAGGUGGUGCAUGGUUGUCGUCAGCUCGUGUCGUGAGAUGUUGGGUUAAGUCCCGCAACGAGCGCAACCCUUGAUCUUAGUUGCCAGCAUUCAGUUGGGCACUCUAAGGUGACUGCCGGUGACAAACCGGAGGAAGGUGGGGAUGACGUCAAAUCAUCAUGCCCCUUAUGACCUGGGCUACACACGUGCUACAAUGGACAGAACAAAGGGCAGCGAAACCGCGAGGUUAAGCCAAUCCCACAAAUCUGUUCUCAGUUCGGAUCGCAGUCUGCAACUCGACUGCGUGAAGCUGGAAUCGCUAGUAAUCGCGGAUCAGCAUGCCGCGGUGAAUACGUUCCCGAGCCUUGUACACACCGCCCGUCACACCACGAGAGUUUGUAACACCCGAAGUCGGUGAGGUAACCUUUUAGGAGCCAGCCGCCGAAGGUGGGACAGAUGAUUGGGGUGAAGUCGUAACAAGGUAGCCGUAUCGGAAGGUGCGGCUGGAUCACCUCCUUU